UCCUCAUCCGUUCGACUACGUGCCUUUGUUUCUGAAUUCCAAAAAAAGAAAAAAGGAAUUUGUUGCUGGAUUUUUUUUGGCAUGCUUUUUUACUGUAGAAACCCACUAAUUCUCAUGCAUGGCAUAGGUCUCUUUAAAAAGCCACAACCUACAAAACCUUUUUAGCUUUGUUUUCUACUUCGCUUUUGCCUUUACCUUUUUCUGUCUCCCCCUUCUGCAAAUUGGUGGCUAUUAUUGCAGAAUUGAAUGAAACUGAUGAUUAAAGCAAGGGUUUGGCCAGUGUGUCAAGAAUGAUAGCCUAGCGCCCAACAACAUGAAGUAAAAGUUCAAAACUAGAGACAAUCAAGGAGAGAAGCAGAGUCUUAAGCUUUAUUUCAUCAUUCCGUUUGCCUCAAAACGCAUAUAGAUACAGUUCUUUGGUAAGAGCUGUUGUUUCGUGCCUGGUAAUGAUCAUAUGCUGUUGCAUGGAAGCAUUUCAAUUUUCCAGGCGAGUCUUCACUUUCCGUAUCUCUCACCCUUUCGGUUUCAUGUUCUUUGUUAGAGUUCUAAGCCUUUGCUGGUUAGUUGAGUAGUUGUUCCACGUGCCAAGGUGGUUAAGUUGUUGUAACUGAAGAGCAGUUGUUAGCUUCUCCUUCUGUAGGUCUUUAUAUAGCUUUGCUCUUUGUAUGAGAAGUUACGUGAAUGGUAAUACAAAACCAGAUUGCUUUUUCAUUCUUAACAUUCGUCGACCUUUGUUUUCUGGGAUUCAGCAGUGACCAGCAACAAGCAAGCUUCAAUGGCUGAUCACAAUCUCGAUUGUUUCCUUCUGAUAACCACUUUUGUUUUUACUCAAACCAACCCAGAUCCCCCAAAAGAUUAAUAUCAACCGAAUCAAAAGGUAUCGAUCUUGCCAUAGUCGAUACUCUCGGUGAUAAGCCAGUCGAAAACAAUGGCUCUUUCGAGACAAGCAACAAUAAGGUCUUGUUUGGGACGUCCAAGCUCAAAGUUUCUCCAAAUCCUUUCCACAGGGGUGUCUUCUCAUUUAAGAAAUGGAGCAGUCUGAGGAUUAUACAUGCGUGAAAUCAUACGGACCUAACCCGAAAACAACUCAUAUAUACGAUAACCGCGUUGUAAAGAGCUGCUGCAGUACAUUAGAUGAGCCUGAAUGUGCACCAAAGAGUGAUUAUUUUCUCAGCUUUUGCCACACAUGCAAGAAGAAUCUUGAACAGAAGACAGAAGAUUGACAUUUACAUUUACAGGGGAGAGCUUUGGGAGUGCCAAUAUCAGGAGAUGAUCCUCCAUGGAGAGGAGAAUUAAGAACAAUUUCAUUUCAUCAAUGAUUUGCAUAAAUUAACUUUAUUUUUGGUUUGUGGGUGUAAAGGUUGUAAGUUAUAUUAUCUUUGUAGAUGAACGCUUAAAGUAUAAAGCGAUUAAAAUAAUAGCAGUAGGAGGGAAAGUUUGAUACUUUGUGCAGAGUUAUCAACAAAGAGGAAGCUUUUUCA